GAUGAACGCUGGCGGCAUGCCUAACACAUGCCAGUCGAUCGGUAAGGCUCUUCGGAGUACCCGAGAGGCGGACGGCUGAGUAACGCGUAGGAACACACCCUGCAGUGAGGGAUAAGACACCGAAAGGUGUUCUAAUACCGCAUACGGUCUUCGGAUUAAAGCAUUUAUGCGCUGAAGGAGUGGCCUGCGUCAUAUUAGAUAGUUGGUGAGGUAAUGGCUCACCAAGUCGAUGAUGUGUAGCUGGUCUGAGAGGAUGAUCAGCCAGACUGGAACUGAGACACGGUCCAGACUCCUACGGGAGGCAGCAGUGAGGAAUAUAUCACAAUGAGCGAAAGCGUGAUGGAGCAAUGCCGCGUGCAGGAUGAAGGCCCUCGGGUUGUAAACUGCUUUUAUAAGAGAAGAUUAUGAUGGUAACUUAUGAAUAAGGGACGGCUAACUACGUG
rnacentral:rRNA from 1 species